rnacentral:rRNA from 1 species
AUGUGGUUAAUUCGAUGAUACGCGAGGAACCUUACCUCGGCUAGAACGCAAUCGGAAUCAGGCCGAAAGGUCUCGCGCCAGCGAUGGCCGCUUGCGAGGUGCUGCAUGGUUGUCGUCAGCUCGUGCCGUGAGGUGUCGGGUUAAGUCCCAUAACGAGCGCAACCCCUACUGCUAGUUGCCAGCGGGUCAUGCCGGGGACUCUAGCGGAACUGCCAGCGUAAGCUGCGAGGAAGUGGGGAUGACGUCAAAUCAGCACGGCCCUUACGUCCAGGGCUACACACGUGUUACAAUGGCCAGUACAGAGGGCAGCCACCCCGCGAGGGGGCGCUAAUCCUAAAAGCUGGUCCCAGUUCGGAUCGGAGUCUGCAACCCGACUCCGUGAAGCUGGAUUCGCUAGUAAUCGCGCAUCAGCCACGGCGCGGUGAAUACGUUCCCGGGCCUU